UUCGGAGGUACUCGAGUGGCGAACGGGUGAGUAACACGUGGGCAAUCUGCCCUGCACUUCUUUCGGGGGAUAAGCCUGGGAAACUGGGGUUCUAAUACCGGGAAUAGGACCUCCAAAGACGCAUGUCUUCUGGGUGGAAAGCUUUUGCGGUGUGGGGAUGGGCCCGCGGGCCCUAUCAGCUUGUUGGUGGGGUGACGGCCUACCAAGGCGACGACGGGUAGCCGGCCUGAGAAGGGUGUCCGGCCACCACUGGGACUGAGAUUACGGCCCAGAACUCCUACGGGAAGGCAGCAGUGGGGAAUAUUUGCACAAUGGGCGCAAGCCUGAUGCAGCGACGCCGCGUGGGGGAUGACGGCCUUUCGGGUUGUAAACCUCUUUCACCAUCGACGAAGGUCCGGGUUUUCUCGGAUUGACGGUAGGUGGAGAAGAAGCACCGGCCAACUACGUGCCAGCAGCCGCGGUAAUACGUAGGGUGCGAGCGUUGUCCGGAAUUACUGGGCGUAAAGAGCUCGUAGGUGGUUUGUCGCGUUGUUCGUGAAAUCUCACGGCUUAACUGUGAGCGUGCGGGCGAUACGGGCAGACUAGAGUACUGCAGGGGAGACUGGAAUUCCUGGUGUAGCGGUGGAAUGCGCAGAUAUCAGGAGGAACACCGGUGGCGAAGGCGGGUCUCUGGGCAGUAACUGACGCUGAGGAGCGAAAGCGUGGGGAGCGAACAGGAUUAGAUACCCUGGUAGUCCACGCCGUAAACGGUGGGUACUAGGUGUGGGUUUCCUUCCUUGGGAUCCGUGCCGUAGCUAACGCAUUAAGUACCCCGCCUGGGGAGUACGGCCGCAAGGCUAAAACUCAAAGGAAUUGACGGGGGCCCGCACAAGCGGCGGAGCAUGUGGAUUAAUUCGAUGCAACGCGAAGAACCUUACCUGGGUUUGACAUGCACAGGACGCGUCUAGAGAUAGGCGUUCCCUUGUGGCCUGUGUGCAGGUGGUGCAUGGCUGUCGUCAGCUCGUGUCGUGAGAUGUUGGGUUAAGUCCCGCAACGAGCGCAACCCUUGUCUCAUGUUGCCAGCGGGUAAUGCCGGGGACUCGUGAGAGACUGCCGGGGUCAACUCGGAGGAAGGUGGGGAUGACGUCAAGUCAUCAUGCCCCUUAUGUCCAGGGCUUCACACAUGCUACAAUGGCCGGUACAAAGGGCUGCGAUGCCGUAAGGUUAAGCGAAUCCUUUUAAAGCCGGUCUCAGUUCGGAUUGGGGUCUGCAACUCGACCCCAUGAAGUCGGAGUCGCUAGUAAUCGCAGAUCAANCGCAACGCUGCGGUGAAUACGUUCCCGGGCCUUGUACACACCG
rnacentral:rRNA from 1 species